AUUUGAUAAUAAUAUAUCACUCACCUAUAGGUGUUGACUCAAUUUAUGGGUUUGAAAGCAUUGUAAAUUCUCUUCUGUUUGUCUCUCCAUUUAGAGUGUAAACUCUUUGUGGGCACACAACACGUCACUUUGUUUUCCUGUAUUUCACAAGAGUCCAUAAUGCACCUUCGCAAGUGGGUACGCGUUGGAUUCCACCUCUACUCCUGUUACUAGAGUUCUCCAGUACCUUUUACACUAGACAUUCACAAAAGAGAGGCAAUCAAGCAUAUGGAG
rnacentral:lncRNA from 1 species